rnacentral:rRNA from 1 species
AUGCCAUCACAGAGGAAAAUUUCGGCCUUGCAAGCACUUGAAAUUGAAACAGCAGAUGAUUCAGGAAUUGUACCUUUGGUUUUGCUACUGGGGCUUGGCCAGGCAGGAGGGCGCCGAGGUCCAGCUGUCGCGACCCUGCCGUCAGAGGCCUCCUGCAGCCGUAAGAUAGCCCGGCGGCCCAGGCAUGCCCCUCGUCUGGUUGCUACCCUCCUCCUCGUCCAGGUCGGCCGUGCUGCUCCGGGACAUCGCCGUCGUCGUAUUCCUUGUCGAGCUCGUCGGGAGGAGACUCCAGCUUGCCGUUGUCGUCAAGCUCGUGGAUCUCGCCGUUGCUCUGCUUCUUGUGUACUUCGCCGUCUCCCUGCUGCUAGCAGCGAGAUACGUGUGGCGGUGAUGCUGCGCCGUCUCCGGUCAGCUCUCGCAGCAGCUGCGCCCUCCGGCCAUCCCUUGCAGCUGGCUCGGCCGGAGCAGUCUUGUGGAUUUGGGGAAACAGUGGCGGAGCUUCACUAG